AGUGAACGCUGGCGGUAGGCCUAACACAUGCAAGUCGAACGGCAGCACAGUAAGAGCUUGCUCUUACGGGUGGCGAGUGGCGGACGGGUGAGGAAUACAUCGGAAUCUACUUUUUCGUGGGGGAUAACGUAGGGAAACUUACGCUAAUACCGCAUACGACCUACGGGUGAAAGCAGGGGAUCUUCGGACCUUGCGCGAUUGAAUGAGCCGAUGUCGGAUUAGCUAGUUGGCGGGGUAAAGGCCCACCAAGGCGACGAUCCGUAGCUGGUCUGAGAGGAUGAUCAGCCACACUGGAACUGGGACACGGUCAAGACUCCUACGGGAGGCAGCAGUGGGGAAUAUUGGACAAUGGGCGCAAGCCUGAUCCAGCCAUACCGCGUGGGUGAAGAAGGCCUUCGGGUUGUAAAGCCCUUUUGUUGGGAAAGAAAAGCAGCAGGUUAAUACCCCGCUGUUCUGACGGUACCCAAAGAAUAAGCACCGGCUAACUUCGUG
rnacentral:rRNA from 1 species